rnacentral:rRNA from 1 species
UACGUAGGGGGCAAGCGUUGUCCGGAAUUAUUGGGCGUAAAGAGCGUGUAGGCGGCCAGAUAAGUCCGCUGUGAAAUCUCGAGGCUCAACUUCGAGCUGUCGGUGGAAACUAUCUGGCUAGAGUCCGGAAGAGGAGAAUGGAAUUCCUGGUGUAGCGGUGAAAUGCGCGGAUAUCAGGAAGAACACCCGUGGCGAAGGCGGCUCACUGGCUCAUUACUGACGCUGAGACGCGAAAGCGUGGGGAGCGAACAGG